UUAUAAUUAGUUAUCUUCAUGCUGAAGAAUCCACUACCCCAACUAAAAGAGGCACAAAUUUUACGCGAUGACAAACUAUGUGCGGGUCCGCAAAUACAUUAGAACACACAUGCACACGCACAUUAUCUUUGCACAGUGGGAAAAUCAGCUGCGCAGUGCAGUGCACUGCUGGUGCUGCAGUAGUCCGGUUAAGGCUUUGCGUGUCAGCAAGUCAUGGCCAACUGCGGUUCUCAGUGAGUCCAGUGUUGUUGUAAGACGACGGACGCGGACGCGACAGCAACGUGAAGCGAUGCGACUACUUAUUCUCGGUAAACGGUGCUAUAUGUGCUGGCCGUCAAACGAUCGAGGUUUCGCUGACUUGCUCGUUCCCCGUACGUGAUGUGUUCAAAUUCACUUUCGGAUGGGUGUACAAACAGUUCGUCAUCGUCAUAUAGCUUACACAACUGGAACCGUGUCGUCGUCGUCGGGUGAUAGCCGCUAAAUAAUGAACACACAAGCGAAGGAGAUGGAGGAAAAAAACGGUAGUAAAUAGGAAAAUUUAUGUGUGACAAUACGUUCUGGUUCUGGCGAUGUAUGCAGGCAGGUCUGUAAACUUCUCGCCCAGGUAAAACACAAACAUCCGAUGCCAUGGCAAGACGAUGCGACGAUGAUGGCGGACAGACGGGGGCAGACAGUGGACCUUCCAUUUCCAUAAUUUUCAGAUUAAGAACAUAAUAAAAAUAAUAUGUCUUCAUACGGCA